UCCCUUGUUUCUCCCGCCUAUAUACCGCCGUCGUCAGCUUACCACUGUGAAGGUCUAAUAGUAAGCAAAAUUGGCACCGCCAAGAACGUCAGGUCGAGGUGUAGCGCAUGAGAGGGGAAGAAAUGGGCUACAUUCGCUACCAUUAGCGAAUACGAACGAUGCACUGAAAACGUUCAUCUGAAGGAGGAUUUAGCAGUAAGUGGAAAAUAGAGUGUUCCGCUGAAAUCGGCUCUGAAGUGCGUACACACCGCCCGUCACUCUCCCCAAGCUUAUUACUACACAUAUAUAAAACGCUCUAACUGCGAAGGGGAGGCAAGUCGUAACAUGGUAAGUGUACCGGAAGGUGCACUUGGAAAAA
rnacentral:rRNA from 1 species